CCCCACUGCUAUCGGGAUGGGACUAAGACAUGCUAGUCGUGCGCUUCCAAGCCACGGUGGAAGCGCGGCGCACAGCUCAGUAGCACGUGGCUAACCUGCCCUUGGGACGGAAAUAACCCCGGGAAACUGGGGCUAAUUUCCGAUAGGUGAAGACUCCUGGAAUGGGUCUUCGCCGAAAGGACGUCUAGACCAUGCUUCUAGACGCUGCCCAAGGAUGGGGCCGCGGCCGAUCAGGUUGUUGGUGAGGUAACGGCUCACCAAGCCUUUGACCGGUGCGGGCCGUGAGAGCGGGAGCCCGGAGAUGGGCACUGAGACAAGGGCCCAGGCCCUACGGGGCGCAGCAGUCGCGAAAACUCCGCAAUACACGAAAGUGUGACGGGGCCAUCCCGAGUGCCGUCCGCUGAGGACGGCUUUUCCCCAGUGUACACGGCUGGGGGAAUAAGGAGAGGGCAAGCCUGGUGUCAGCCGCCGCGGUAAUACCAGUUCUCCGAGUGGUGGGGACGCUUAUUGGGCCUAAAGCAUCCGUAGCCGGCUGGGCAAGUCCUCCGUUAAAUCCAACGAUUCAAUCGUUGGACUGCGGGGGAUACUGUCCAGCUUGGGGGCGGGAGAGGACGACGGUAUUCCCGGGGUAGGGGUGAAAUCCUAUAAUCCCGGGAGGACCACCAGUGGCGAAGGCUGUCGGCUGGAACGCGCCCGACGGUGAGGGAUGAAAGCUGGGGGAGCGAACCGGAUUAGAUACCCGGGUAGUCCCAGCCGUAAACGAUGCAGGCUAGGUGUUAGAACGGCCACGAGCCGUUCUAGUGCCGCAGGGAAGCCGUUAAGCCUGCCGCCUGGGGAGUACGGCCGCAAGGCUGAAACUUAAAGGAAUUGGCGGGGGAGCACCACAAGGGGUGAAGCUUGCGGUUU
rnacentral:rRNA from 1 species